GAAAAAACAAAACAAAACGUGGGUUCUGUUGCGGCUGUUGCGGUUCGCGCAAGUUUCGGAAGUGUCUCGUUCCUGCGUACUUUCUCGCUUCUCGCGAUAGUUAGGGAUUGAUUGCGCGUAGUAACGCAGAAGUGUGAGAGAGCAUUUGUUCUAGCUAAUAACCAAGGGCGUUCUGUUGAGUAGCUGCGAAUUUUCGAACCACACAAAAAGGAUCAACCGUGACGUUGUUGAUAUUGGCGAUCACCUUUCGAACUGAGUCGUCGCUUCCGUUACCGCGACAAUGCAGUCGAUCGUCCUACUUCGCCGGUGCCGGCACCUGAUGUCGCCGACUGCUCGGCGCCUGCUCAGGACGUCGCCGGCCUGCCUGGACGCCGACGAGGACGACGUUUCGGAGCUCACGAAACAGCGUUGGGAUGUGGUCAUCUCGGGAGCGGGACUCGCUGGAGCUGCUCUGGCUUGCGCUUUGGGAACGUCGGAGGCGUUUGCGAACAAGCGAGUGCUGCUCGUAGACAGACGUCAACUCCGCUCGGAUCACGAUGAGGAGAAUUGGAGCAACCGCGUCUAUGCAUUGACUCCGGGAAGCAGGAGCUUUUUGCAAGCCCUCGGUGUAUGGGACAUGCUGCCAAAGUCCAAAGUCCAGACAAUCAAGCGAAUGCGAGUUUGGGAAUCGCACUCCUCUGCCUCCAUUGCCUUCUUUGGGCGCACAGCAGCCAACGAAGUGGCAUUCGAUGUCGACAUGGGCAACCUAGCGGAUGCGCUUUAUCGUCGACUGGCACAACUACCAUCGGAAGUGGUGCGCGUUGUCUCUAAAGUCAAGGUGAUGAACUACGAACUGCCAACAUUGGAGAGGUUUGACCCGAUGGGCCCUUGUCCACCAGUAAGAAUCCAUGUGCUUGGAGAAGACAAGCCACUGGAAACCUCCCUGCUAGUGGGAGCAGAUGGUUUCAACUCGCAAGUUCGCAAAAGCAUGGCUGUCCGGUGCCUCCAAUGGAACUACAACCAAAAGUCCAUCAUCGCCACCGUGAAGCUGUGUGAGCCGGUGGACAACACAGUGGCGUGGCAACGAUUCCUGCCGAACGGCGUGGUGGCCUUGCUGCCGCUGGACUCGGAACAUUCCUCAUUGGUGUGGACAGUGCGGUCAGACUUGGCAGACAAGCUGAUGCAGCUGCCAGAGGACAGUUUUGUGGAUGCCCUCAACAAGAGCCUUUGGGGUGAAGGCAGGCAAAUGCCCCUGGUCAACACAGCCCUCUCCACGGUUGCAUCGCUACUUGAAAGGUUCGGUGCCGCACCCCCUGCCUGCAGUGAUGCGCCAAUGCGCAUCCUCUCGCUAGUGCCAGCGAGCCGUGCCACCUUCCCUUUGGGCCUGAGUUAUGCUGCCCAUUAUGUGUUACCCCGAGUAGCCCUCAUCGGUGAUGCUGCCCACCGAGUGCACCCAAUGGCAGGUCAGGGUGCGAACCUUGGCUUUGGUGAUGCCCAGGAACUGGCCCAGCUCUUGGUUGAGUCUGUGUGGAAUGGAAUGCCAAUAGUGAGCUUCGACACGCUUUUGCGCUACGAGACGCUACGUCAGCGGCACACUGUGCCCUUCCUGCUGGCCAUCGAGGCUCUGGUCGGGCUCUAUCGUUUCAACUUGCUGCCUGUGGUGGCAGCCCGCAGUGUGGGGCUGCAGCUCAUCGACGCCUGGGUUGGUCUCAAGGAAAGGAUAGUUGACCGUGCGUCAUAUUAAGCAAGAUUGCGAGCAUUUUUCUUGCACGAGCAUAUUGUACAGAGGACCAGGCCCACUGGAUUGACAAUGCCUACUUACAUGGUUGGAGGAGCUCUGCUACCUGGUGCAGGAGCCCAGCGGCUAUGACAUUGCACUGCUGAUCACGAGUUCUGAUGGGGCUGGAAUGGAACAACGCCCGUCUGCCGUGCAUUUGGCUCAUGUAAAACAACCCCAGGUGGUCAAAAUAUGGAGUACCUCGUAAAUCAGAUCGUGCUUUUGGUUCAUAGAAUGCCAGAAUUUGAUUUAGUAAUUAGGAGCUCUGCUGUCGAGACACCUGAGCUUCCUCAUUGAAGGGCGUAAAAAAAAAGAAGAAAAGUUGGCCAGCAGCAGGCAUUGGGGCUGUGUGACAGCACAUGGCGUCGCUGCAGCUUUUUGACGAAGUGAAGCACAGCUGAGGUGGGAGAGUACUGGGUUGAUAACUGAAUGCACCUUUUGUUAUUAUACGCAUGCUUUGGGAACCCUGACAGGAUUUUACCUGACCUCUUCAAAGCGUAUAUACGUAUAUCAUGUUUCGCUAAAACACCGAAAUAUUUGUCUCGCAGCAUAUAGUGGUCAUUUGCAAAUAAUUGCUUCUAGCUGCUGUGCUGUUGAGUAGCAGUAAAAGCAACUUAUGCGAAUAAUGUAGAAUAAUACAGUAGAACCUCGUUCAUACGUUUUGGAAAGAACCGCGAGAAGAACGUACUAUCAGGGAAAACGCACAAUCCGAAGUAACUAAAAUAAAUUUGACAGCCUCAACUAUGGUUGACAUCUACGCAAUGCGAAGCGUCGCGCGGAUCGUUGCGGCACGCGGCGCCGGCGCGUGUGGAAUUGGUGGUGCUCCGGCGGCCCGACACGCCUUUCGUUGUUUUCAUAGUAAGAGGGCAGCGGGAAACCGAAACGAAAUCGAGCUUGUGGGCGACGCCGGAAUGCCGCCGAAGCGAAAUGUGCUGCCCACAUCGCGCCCGCCUGCAGCAGGGAACGGCGGCGCGUUUCGGUCAUCGCCUACUAAAAGCAUGCAGUACGCUUCCAAUGGCACUACGCACCACGCGCUGUGAAACAGAUAGGCGAAGAUGCUUAUCGCAACCGGAUUGGCGGCGAUAGCUGUGAGUGCGGCGUUCGACGACCUGGGCGGAGGUUCGCUGCUACCGGAAUGAAAAGCUGUGCGCGCCGUUGUUUUCACAUGGGACGGGGUGGCGAGUAUUGCGGUUAAGCUGCGGCGGCUGUCGCGCGUGCCUCGCGCAUUUUCUUGUUUACACGGGAUCUAGCGGCCGGAAAACGUAUCACACGAUCACAUUUUAGCGACGCCCUGAACCUUGUUGCCGAAAAAUCGUGUUUUCAGGGAACGUAUGAACCGGUCAAAAAUAACCGUAAUUCUGAUGGGUAAUGUUUUGUGUUUUCGAUUGCGAACGUUGACGCCGGGAGAACAUACGCAACGGGAACGCAUCAACGAGGUUCUACUGUAUGUCUAGUUUCAGUUGAUUGAGUAUGUUUGCAAUUCACAGUUUGUCUUUCUGUCACGCCUUCUUCAAGUUACAUACGAGUGUGACCGAAGGUGACUUUCCAACUGCGCACCAUUUCCUUUUAUGUGUCCCACCACUACUGAGUCAUUUGGCAUCGUAGGCACUUCUGGGUUUAUUGCUAAAACGCCGGCCCCUACCUCCAAAUACAAAUGUAGAAAAGCGCAGCAGCAGUGUUGUCAUUUUUAAUGGGCACUAAAGUCAUAUUCAUUUGCAAAUGCGAAGAAAAUUUGUGCCAAGAUGCAUGGGGUAAAAGCUUUGUAUGAAGUACCUAGUCAACCUUAACUGAAAACCAUAAAAUCUUUCUUUUCAACGUCAUUCUGGAUUAACAAAAUUAAAAUGUUCUGAAACUAAAAUAUGAAAAGAAUUGUUUUUCCUUUCUUUUCAAUUCCUGAUUUUUUUGUGUGUGGCUUAGUUCCAGUUCAGAACUCUUCUUGUUUAGAAACCUGUGAACUAUAUUUUGCCACUGGAAUAUAGAAACCUCAUCAUAAUGAGAGUUAUGAUGUUUCAAAGAUUUUUUUGCCAGUAUGAAUUUGCAUAGCUAAAUUCAGUUGUAAAAAGCCAUACAUUUAGCAAAAGAAGUUUCUUGCACUGUGGCACCUUAUGUGCAUCUGCCAUUUUAUGUUCCAUAAUAAAUUUGCAUGCUUGUAAAUGGUGCUGAAGCACUCGGGUAAGAGCUCAUAUUUCUUGCAAUUAGAGAAUAUAAAAAAUUUGGCAAAAUGGAUUAACAUUGUACUUUUACACUGCUUUGCAGAAAAAUUAUCACAUUAUGUGUUGACAUGUUGAUUCGCUUUUCUAUUUUUUUGUUGUUUU